AAGAGACAGGCAUAACAAAGCUUCAAGUGAACUGUCUAGAAAGGAGCAUAUGGGGAAGAAAACCCAAUGAAGACCACCUGAAAGUUGUUUGGCAUUUCUUAGGUUUGAGAAGGAUGGGGUAGAGGCCUGGAGCCAUAAGACUUACUAACCAAUCAGUUUCAGCCUUCAUAUCAUUCUUUUUCCAGAGGCUGCCCUAUCUCCUUUGGGACAUUUCCUACUUGAGUAGGGACCAGUGGUAAAUGUCCUUACCUAUGUAUUCAAGGCUAACCAAUUGGUCUGUAUCACUGUCAUUAACACUAUCAUCUCUAUGACUACCACUAACAUCAUCACCUACACAUGCCUAGUGUCACAGUUCACAGAGUGCUGUCGUGUUCGCUGUCUUGUCGCUGCUAACAACAACCCUCUAAGGACAUUUCUGCUGUUGGGAUCAUGAGGACUGAAAUCACUGACUUUGCCUUGGGUCUUGAAAGGUGGUGGCAGUGGGGAGGGCAAGUGGAUAUUUAGCAUUUGCCCAGGAGUAGUGACAAAAACCCUGCAUCCCCCACCCCUGCUCAGCAGAAGUUGAGCAGCCUUCUUAUCAAUUUGAUUGUAGGUUGAACAAGAGUGGGCAGGGUGGUUCAGAUCACCAAGACAGCUGUAUGCAGUGGGAAGAAGCAGCCCAGGAAUGCUCUCACCCCUACCACCUGCAUGUGGAGGAUGUCACUAGCAUGCCAGUAGACAAGUCAGACGAUAAUCCUCAACCGACCACAAUGUUGGGGCCCCAGUCCCAGUCUUCUGACUGGCAAGUCCCAUUCCGGGCUGUAAUCCACCAAGCCUCUGGCAGUAUCCAGCUCUGCUCUUCACAUUUUCAGCCUAGGGAGGAGAUCUCCUUCAGGUAAGAGAAGUGGCAGAGGGUUUUUGGAAUUCCAGGCUCUGGUGACUGAUGGUUGGUCCAAGGCCCAUAGCUGGUGUCUGGCCUUAUUUUAAACGGCUUCUCAUUUUUCCUCCAAAUUAGACUGAACUGCCAGUCUUGCUUGAAGAAGUCAUCCACUGGGUUUAUUAGAUGCUUUUCUAAGGUAGGGCUGUGCCUGGCCCAGCACUUUUGGUGUAUGUAAGACAAAACCAGAGCAUCUCAGAAUUUCCAGUUCUCAAGGUAUGUACCAGAGGAUAAAAGGCGGCCAAAAACAAAAAGAAAGGGUGCUCUCGUUGGACAUAUGCCUGGGUCGGUUUAGAUAGGUCAGAACAUUUGGCUUGCAGCCAGUCUUUCUGUGCUGGCUUUAACAGGGUGCUUUCAGCAAAUCCUAGCAGUGAAGCCCAGCCAUUUCUUAGAAUGGACCUUGCUGUUUCAGGAAACAACACUUGCCAAAGAUGUGGCAGAGAAAGUUUCUUUCUCUUUAUCUCUCUCUUCUUUUCCUCUUUUGUCUCUCUCUCUCUCUCUCUCUCAGUGAUGAAACUUUCAGAAGGCUCCUGACUUGGAAACAAUAUCUUCAUCCUAGAGGGCACAUUGUGUGUAUUAGCUAAAUUGUCAAAGUGUACACAAGCCACCAUGGGUCCCCAUCCUGAGUCUUCCAGAGAAGUCAGCUCUGGUCUAUGAUCCAGACUUUUUCCUUUUCCCCUUAGAACUAGCAGCUACCUUGUUGCCUCACAAAAACAGACCAUGACCUCUCCCCUCUCACGUGACCUCCCCAGGACUCCAUAGCAACAUCUUACCAUGACCCAGCACAUCACAGCACUUGCGGAGAAAGCCUUGCUUGAUGCCGUUCACUGCCAGUAUUAACUCUUGGGCUCCCUGGGUGUGUGGAGUCAUUAGAAUAAAAAGUAUCUCAACAUACAGCACCACGGCCACAGGCUGUGGCUGGAGUCUAACAGUUGUGUUCUGUGGUCAUUCUGUCAGUUAUGGGUGAACCUCAAACUGUUGAGAAUUGAGACUCUGUUCUAGUUACAUCUCCAGUAACUAGGAUGUUUCUCUUUCUCUCAUGAGACUGCAGAAGAAAGCUGGCAAGUGUUCAAGAACAGACCAUCUCAUGAGAUUUCCUGUACUUCCUGCUGCUGUUGCUGCUGCUGCUGCUCAGCCACGUGUCUCCUAGAAAGGCUUUCUCAUGACAGAUGACAGUUUGGACAAGGAAUAACAGGGUGGUUACCACCAUAUGGUAAGGCCCCGGCCUGUGUAUCUUCUUGAAACCUCAAGUUCUUGUUCAGCCAAGGGCUGGAGAUGACAAAGGGACUAUGGUAAGCCUUAGUGGGCUUUGCCACACCUAGACUAACACUGAGCCUAGGGCCUAUCUAGACCACAACACCCAGAGAUGCUCGCUGCAGUUCUACAUAACUUUUGAAGGAAAUUCCUGAGACUUCCAGGGGUUUUUUGAUACUUGACUCUAGUGCAUUUGUGGAAUUAACUUACAUUUCUCUGGAAUUUUAAGAUGGAACUGGAGGGUAUUAUGCUGAGUGAAAUAAGUCAGUCGGAAAAGGACAAACAUUAUAUGGUCUCAUUCAUUUGGGGAAUAUAGA